GAUGAACGCUGGCGGCGUGCCUAAUACAUGCAAGUCGAGCGAACAGACGAGGAGCUUGCUCCUCUGACGUUAGCGGCGGACGGGUGAGUAACACGUGGAUAACCUACCUAUAAGACUGGGAUAACUUCGGGAAACCGGAGCUAAUACCGGAUAAUAUAUUGAACCGCAUGGUUCAAUAGUGAAAGACGGUUUUGCUGUCACUUAUAGAUGGAUCCGCGCCGCAUUAGCUAGUUGGUAAGGUAACGGCUUACCAAGGCAACGAUGCGUAGCCGACCUGAGAGGGUGAUAGGCGACACUGGAACGGAGACACGGUCCAGAGUCCUACGGGAGGCAGCAGUAGGGAAUCUUCCGCAAUGGGCGAAAGCUUGACGGAGCAACGCCGCGUGAGUGAUGAAGGUCUUCGGAUCGUAAAACUCUGUUAUUAGGGAAGAACAAAUGUGUAAGUAACUAUGCACGUCUUGACGGUACCUAAUCAGAAAGCCACGGCUAACUACGUG
rnacentral:rRNA from 1 species